AACGCGAAGAACCUUACCUACCUUUGAAUCCACAGAAUCCUCUAGAGAUAGAGGAGUGUCUUCGGAAGCUGUGAGACAGAUGCUGCAUGGCUGUCGUCAGCUCGUGUCGUGAGAUGUUGGGUUAAGUCCCGUAACGAGCGCAACCCUUGUCCUUAGUUGCCAUCAGGUAAAGCUGGGUACUUUAAGGAGACUGCCGGUGAUAAACCGGAGGAAGGUGGGGAUGAUGUCAAGUCAUCAUGGCUCUUACAGGUAGGGCUACACACGUGCUACAAUGGCCGGUACAAAGGGACGCCAACCCGCGAGGGGGAGCAAAUCUCAUAAAGCCGGUCUCAGUCCGGAUUGGAGUCUGCAACUCGACUCCAUGAAGCUGGAAUCGCUAGUAAUCGUGGAUCAGCACGCCACGGUGAAUACGUUCCCGGGCUUGUACACACCGAUACUC
rnacentral:rRNA from 1 species